AGUGGCGGACGGGUGAGUAACGCGUGAGAAUCUGCCUUGGGGUCGGGGACAACCACUGGAAACGGUGGCUAAUACCGGAUAAGCCGAUUGGUGAAAGAUUUAUUGCCCGAAGAGGAGCUCGCGUCUGAUUAGCUAGUUGGUGAGGUAAGAGCUCACCAAGGCAGCGAUCAGUAGCUGGUCUGAGAGGACGAUCAGCCACACUGGGACUGAGACACGGCCCAGACUCCUACGGGAGGCAGCAGUGGGGAAUUUUCCGCAAUGGGCGAAAGCCUGACGGAGCAAGACCGCGUGAGGGAGGAAGGCUCUUGGGUUGUAAACCUCUUUUCUCAGGGAAGAAGCUCUGACGGUACCUGAGGAAUCAGCCUCGGCUAACUCCGUGCCAGCAGCCGCGGUAAUACGGAGGAGGCAAGCGUUAUCCGGAAUUAUUGGGCGUAAAGCGUCCGCAGGUGGCGUUUCAAGUCUGCUGUCAAAGCACGGGGCUUAACUCCGUAAAGGCAGUGGAAACUGAAUAGCUAGAGUGCCGUAGGGGUAGAGGGAAUUCCCGGUGUAGCGGUGAAAUGCGUAGAGAUCGGGAAGAACAUCGGUGGCGAAAGCGCUCUACUGGACGGCAACUGACACUCAGGGACGAAAGCUAGGGGAGCGAAUGGGAUUAGAUACCCC
rnacentral:rRNA from 1 species